rnacentral:rRNA from 1 species
GAUCCUGGCUCAGGAUGAACGCUAGCUACAGGCUUAACACAUGCAAGUCGAGGGGCGGCGGGAUUGAAGCUUGCUUCAAUUGCCGGCGACCGGCGCACGGGUGAGUAACGCGUAUCCAACCUUCCGCAUACUCGGGGAUAGCCUUCUGAAAAGGAGAUUAAUACCCGAUGGUAUCAAGAGAUUGCAUGAUAACUUGAUUAAAGAAUUUCGGUAUGCGAUGGGGAGUGCGUUCCAUUAGG